AAACCAAAAAGCAAAAGAGGAAGAUUGGCAACAGAUAUUAGCUCAGGACUAAGCUACCUCAGGAAAAAAAAAACUAAGGUAAAAUACACCAUAAAUUAGAAGGCAAACAACAAUCUUGGCAAAAAUAUUUACAACAGAUAAAAGAGACAAAGGACAACUCUCUUUAUAAUGAGCUAUAAAGAAAAGAAAAAGAGCCAACAACCCACCAGCAAAAGCAGGCAGAGGCCUUGGAGACCAGAGAACACAGUGCUGAUGCACAGGCGACAAGACAGUGCCCCGGGCCUGGGGAGAUGCCGAGUAAAGCAGUGCCGCAUGAGGGAGGCCCCCACCCAGGGUGGGAAGGGCUCCGUCACGCUGAGCCUGAGGCGGGCCGUCUGCCUCUCUUAAAUUCGAAGCAGGCAGACUGUGACCAGCGGCUCUCCAGGAAUCCUUUCUGCGUAUAUGCUGUGGGUUGAACUGUGUCCCCAGAAAGAUCUGUACGAAUCCUAACCUCCAGAUCCGACCGUGUUUGGAAAUAGGGUUGCUGCAGAUGUAAUUAGCUGAGAUGAGGUCACAAUGGAGUGGGGCCCCUAAUCCAAUAGGACGGGUGUCUUUGUAAGAAGACAGAGACACAUGGGGUGAAUGCCAUGUGACCACAGAGGCAGAGACUGGAGUGAUGUGGCCACGAGCCAAGGGACGCCAAGGAUGGCCGGCGCCACCAGCAGCAGGAAGAGGCAGGAAGGAUCCUCCCUCCAGCCGCCCGGUCUGUGCCCCAGGAGACGGAUGCGACCCACAUGCGCACACAGACGCGGGAGACCGUUCACCGCAGCACGAUACUCACGGGAAGCGUCCUUCAGCAGGACACAGCGUGAAGCUCUGUGAGGCUGCCACCCGAGGAGGACACGGAGCGUCCAUGGUAGACUGACGAGAGCAGGUGCAGGACGAUGUGGGGAGUACGGCUCCGUUAUUGCGAGGAAAACAAACCAAAGUCAUGGGCUUACUGACACGGCACAGGACAAGCAGCUGGGGACAUGCCACCGUGAACAGACUAUCCCCGGGGAGUGGGGCUGGGUGAGGGGGUCUUUGACUUUCCGCUGUCUCCCAGAGAGGUAUGCUUUCUCAAGGAUGAGGCUUCUAUUGAACCGAUAACUUGGAAUAAAUUUCACUAGAAUAA